UUAUUCGAAGCUCAAUGGAUAGAGCAACAGAUUCAGGUUCUGUGGGUUGAGGGUUCGAAUCCCUCCGAAUGAA
rnacentral:tRNA from 1 species